GGCCCAUUAGCUCAGUUGGUUAGCGCGUGGUGCUAAUAACGCCAAGGUCGCAGGUUCGAGACCUGCAUGGGCCA
rnacentral:tRNA from 1 species